rnacentral:rRNA from 1 species
CCUACGGGCGGCAGCAGUGGGGAAUAUUGGACAAUGGGGGGAACCCUGAUCCAGCCAUGCCGCGUGUGUGAAGAAGGCCCUCGGGUUGUAAAGCACUUUCAGUGAGGAAGAACGCCUGGUGGUUAAUACCCAUCAGGAAAGACAUCACUCACAGAAGAAGCACCGGCUAACUCCGUGCCAGCAGCCGCGGUAAUACGGAGGGUGCGAGCGUUAAUCGGAAUUACUGGGCGUAAAGCGCGCGUAGGUGGCUUGAUAAGCCGGUUGUGAAAGCCCCGGGCUCAACCUGGGAACGACAUCCGGAACUGUCAAGCUAGAGUGCAGGAGAGGAAGGUAGAAUUCCCGGUGUAGCGGUGAAAUGCGUAGAGAUCGGGAGGAAUACCAGUGGCGAAGGCGGCCUUCUGGACUGACACUGACACUGAGGUGCGAAAGCGUGGGUAGCAAACAGGAUUAGAUACCCGUGUAGUC